CGGGACUCUCACGAGGCCUCGUAAUCGGAAUGAGUACACUUUAAAUAUUUUAACGAGGAACAAUUGGAGGGCAAGUCUGGUGCCAGCAGCCGCGGUAAUUCCAGCUCCAAUAGCGUAUACUAAAUUUGUUGCGGUUAAAAAGCUCGUAGUUGCAUUUGUGCGCCGCGCUGUCGGUGCACCGCAUCCGCGGUGAUACUGACACGUCUGCGGAGCAUAUCGUCGGUGAGCCGCCGGUAAAACGGCGGUUCAAUAUCAAAAUCCUAUCGCGGUGCUCUUCAGUGAGUGUCGAGGUGGGCCGGCAAUUUUACUUUGAACAAAUUAGAGUGCUCAAAGCGGGCUCAAAACGCUGCUUGAAUAUUUCGUGCAUGGAAUAAUAGAAUAUGAUCUCGGUUCUAUUUUGUUGGUUUUCAGAACUCCGAGGUAAUGAUUAAUAGGGAUAACUGGGGGCAUUCGUAUUGCGACGUUAGAGGUGAAAUUCUUGGAUCGUCGCAAGACGAACAUCAGCGAAAGCAUUUGCCAAAGGUGUUUUCAUCAAUCAAGAACGAAAGUUAGAGGUUCGAAGGCGAUUAGAUACCGCCCUAGUUCUAACCGUAAAUAUGUCAUCUAGCGAUCCGCCGACGUUAAUCAAAUGGCUCGGCGGGCAGCUUCCGGGAAACCAAAGAUUUUGGACUCCGGGGGGAGUAUGGUUGCAAAGCUGAAACUUAAAGGAA
rnacentral:rRNA from 2 species